rnacentral:lncRNA from 10 species
CCGGCGGCGGCGUCGCGGCCGCACGGACGCGCACGCAGGCACGCGCAGAAAUCCAGCUUACAUAAAUCCCAUGGAUUUGGCUUCCAUUUUCAAGGUAAAGGGACACAUCACAGUUUUGACUACAGCAGAAUUAAGGAUUCAGAGAAACGUAAGUAUAUGUUUUGUUUUGACUUUUCUCAGGUUCUUAAUAUUUUGGUUGCUCUUGUAAAAACCCAACUUUGGGGCUUGUGUGAAAGGAAAAUAAAUCUUGGGACCCCAUAAUCACUAAACCAAAGGGGACAGUCAAGCUGGGAACUGCAUCAGGCAAACCUGCCUCCCAUUCUAUUCCUAAAAAAGAUAGCUACUAAGAUUAAAAAGCUACCUACCUCCCUCACAAGGAAAUUCCUUGUGGACAAAUGACAGAACUCGGAGCCACCCAUCUGCUCACUGAGAUAGAUGCAUCUCUGACUGCCUCCUUUGGAAAGGCCAAUCAGAAACUCAAAAGAAUGCAACUGUUUGUCUCUUAUCUACCUAUUAACUGAAAGCCCCUGCCCUGCUUCAAGUUGUCUGGCCUGUCUGGACCAAACCAAUGUACAUCUUACAUAUAUUGAUUGAUGUCCCAUGUCUCCCUAAAAUGUAUAAAACUAAGCUGUACCCCAACCACCUUGGGCACAUGUCAUCAGGACCUCCUGAGGCCAUGUCAUGGGUGUGUGUCCUUAACCUUGGCAAAAUAAACUUUCUUUUUUUUUUUCACAUUUCUUUCAUUUUUUUUAUUAUUAUUAUACUUUAAGUUUUAGGGUACAUGUGCACAAUGUGCUGGUUAGUUACAUAUGUAUACAUGUGCCAUUCUG